rnacentral:rRNA from 1 species
ACUCAAAUGAAUUGACGGGGACCCGCACAAGUGGUGGAGCAUGUGGUUUAAUUCGAUGCAACGCGAAGAACCUUACCAAGGCUUGACAUCCGCAGCAAAGCUAUAGAGAUAUAGUGGAGGUUAUCUGCGUGACAGGUGGUGCAUGGUUGUCGUCAGCUCGUGUCGUGAGAUGUUGGGUUAAGUCCCGCAACGAGCGCAACCCCUAUCUUUAUUUGCUAACAUUAAGUUGAGGACUAUAGAGAGACUGCCUACGCAAGUAGGAGGAAGGUGGGGAUGACGUCAAAUCAUCAUGCCCCUUAUGUCUUGGGCUACACACGUGCUACAAUGGCCGAUACAAAGGGUUGCAAACUGGUGACAGUAAGCUAAUCCCAAAAAGUCGGUCUAAGUUCGGAUCGAAGUCUGCAACUCGACUUCGUGAAGCCGGAAUCACUAGUAAUCGUGGAUCAGAAUGCCACGGUGAAUACGUUCUCGGGUCUUGUACACACCGCCCGU